UGGGGAAUCUUGCGCAAUGCGCGAAAGCGUGACGCAGCAACACCGCGUGAGGGAAGACGGCCUUAGGGUUGUAAACCUCUUUCAGAUGGGACGAAGGUUGUCCGGUGAAUAGCCGAGAUGAUUGACGGUACCGUCAGAAGAAGCUCCGGCUAACUACGUGCCAGCAGCCGCGGUAAUACGUAGGGAGCGAGCGUUGUCCGGAAUCAUUGGGCGUAAAGAGCACGUAGGUGGAUCAAUUAGUCUGCUGUGAAAGUCGAAGGCUCAACCUUCGAAAGCCGGUGGAUACUGUUGAUCUAGAGUACGGAAGAGGCGAGUGGAAUUCCUGGUGUAGCGGUGGAAUGCGCAGAUAUCAGGAGGAACACCAAUAGCGAAGGCAGCUCGCUGGGACGUAACUGACACUGAGGUGCGAAAGCGUGGGGAGCAAACAGG
rnacentral:rRNA from 1 species